rnacentral:lncRNA from 1 species
GCUAAACUUAUACAACCGCAAAAUUUUAUGAAAGGUUAAACAAGUUAGCGUGCAAGCGUACGAAUUGUUCGAUAGUAUAGAAAGCAAGCACUUAAUAUCGUCCCUAAAAAAAUGAUUUAAUUCUUAUCAACUAACUUAAAUCCAAUUGCACUAAGUAAAAUUAGCAAAGAUUGAUGAAAGAUGGAUUUGAGAAUUGAAACUAAUAGUAAAAACAAAUGAAAACAAGAAAGUUUGAUCACAAUGCAAAAAGUGGCAGCUAAGAAAACAAGUUGUAAUUCAAUUGAGUAAAACACUAGAGCAUCCGACUCACCAUAACCAAUCCUACUUAUUUCCUGCAACGAAUUAUUAUCAAGUACUCAAUCUCAUUGAAAGUCAAAUUUCCCUAAUUCAUGUAAUAUCUAUGGCAUCUAGACUAUUACGUAUAUCCCAAUUUGUAACCAUCCAUGGCAUCUAGAAUAGUUUAACAUCAUGAAACUCAUUACGAUCAGUGGAAAUUUAUAUAAAGACUACACAAAUCCUAUAGUAUGGCAUCUACUCUAGGUAAUUUAUGGUAUCUAUUUGCAAGAAGCUAUCACUCAAGUUAAAAACAUGGCAUCUGCACAACUUGCAUCACAUUUACUAAGUAAAAGUCAAGAUGGUAGCUAAUCACCAAGACUAAAACCAAGCAUAAAAGCACAUCAAACAAUACUCAAUGAAAUUUGAAAACUUGAAAAUAAUUCAAUUCAGAAUUUAAGCAUUCAUAGUCAUGGCUACAGCGUAGCCCUAACCAAGGAGAAUUAGUUCUGAAACAUAACUGAAAGUAUGAUUGAAGUCAUAAAAAAAAAAUUAAAAGAAAAACUAAGUUUAGAAAAUCCUGAAAUCCCCGUGCUCUGCCACUGCCUUCUUCUAUUUGCUCUCCUUCUAGAAAAAAAUUGAUCAAUUCUUUUCCUUCUUUUCCCCUUUUACGUUUCCGUAACCGAUGAAAGAUUAACCUCAAUUGAUUGUUGACAGUAAAAGAUAGGAAACAGUAAAAGUCUUCAAUUAUGUCCUAGCCACUCUUUGGUACAUUAAAGCACCCAAAUGAAUUAUGCAUCUAUUAACAUUAAGCUCAUGCCUUUGAUCUCCUUGCUACUGCUUGCCCUUUGUUUCAAUAACUCUUUCAUUGCCAUCAAUAAAUCCACUUAUAUAACAGCCAAGUCUCUCUUAUUUUGUAGAGCAAAAAUCCUUCCACGCCAAAACCCAUAAGCAUCGACAUCCUCAUUCCAAAAUAUAUUCACUUUGAAUUACAACACCCUGGAAUCUAUGAACCCGAGGACCUUUGUUUCCUUCUUUUCAUUCUCCACCAAUUUUGCAACUGCAAUUUCACCAACUCAAUCGCUGCCUCUUUGAUGCGAUCUCCCAUUUUUUUUAUUUUGUAGCAGUCAAUUCCCCACUUUUCUUUGAGAUAGUGAGUUGGUUCCUCCUAGAAAAUGGUAAAAGUUGCAAGCCUUUCAAUCAUCUUUUAAGACUAUUCAAAUUGAAGUUUGAUGCCCUUUAGGUACUAAAGUGGCCACGUUG